rnacentral:rRNA from 1 species
AGAGUUUGAUCCUGGCUCAGAACGAACGCUGGCGGCGCGCCUAAUACAUGCAAGUCGAGCGAGAAGGUGUAGCAAUACACUUGUAAAGCGGCGAACGGGUGAGGAAUACAUGGGUAAUCUACCAUCGAGUGGGGAAUAACCAGCCGAAAGGUUGGCUAAUACCGCGUACGCCUCCGGAUCUUCGGGUUCGGAGGGAAAGCCACACUGUGAGUGCGGCGCUCUUUGAUGAGCUCAUGUCCUAUCAGCUUGUUGGUAGGGUAACGGCCUACCAAGGCUUUGACGGGUAGCUGGUCUGAGAGGACGAUCAGCCACACUGGCACUGCGACACGGGCCAGACUCCUACGGGAGGCAGCAGUAAGGAAUAUUGCGCAAUGGGCGAAAGCCUGACGCAGCGACGCCGCGUGGGGGAUGAAGGUCUUCGGAUUGUAAACCCCUUUCGGGAGGGAAGAUGGAGCGAGCAAUCGUUCGGACGGUACCUCCAGAAGCAGCCACGGCCAACUUCGUGCCAGCAGCCGCGGUAAUACGAAGGUGGCAAGCGUUGUUCGGAUUCACUGGGCGUACAGGGUGUGUAGGCGGUUUGGUAAGCCUUCUGUUAAAGCUUCGGGC